rnacentral:lncRNA from 10 species
GAGGAAAGGCCAUGUGAGGUCUCAGCAAGAAGGCCAUAGUCUACAAACCAGAAAGGCAGCCCUUACCAGAGACCAACCCUGCCAGACCUUGAUCAUGGACUCCUAGCCUCCAGAACUAGACAGGGUCUCACUAUGUUGCCCAGGCUGGUCUCAAAUUCCUUCUCAAGUGAUCCUCCCACCUCAACCUCCCAAAGUGCUGGGAUUGCAGGCAUGAGCCACUGCACCCAGCAGAAAUUCUUAACGAGGCAAGGCCAACAGAGGCCAUUCAUUCAACAUCACGGCACCAUAGUGGCCUCUUUUUAAGACUCCUCAGGUUCCAGAUAGAUUUCAUCACUCAAGAUAAGCAAAUGAACCACAGAAUUUUGAAGUUAGAGGUAAUUACAGCAAUGAUCUUAGCCAGCCCCCAUACAUUUUGGGACACACAGGUUCAGGACUGCCUGCCCUGGAGCUGAUUCCAUAAGAUACCCAAACAACUUCUGAAAGAGAAAAAAGUCUUUGUCUCAGUUUCUGCUCUCCAGAGGUAACCCAAAGAGGUAAGGAACCCAGUGAGAAAGACAGAGAGAAGUAUGGACAAGAAACAGAUCCUAAACCUGUUUUGUUUUAUUUUUGGUAGUAGUUGUUUAUUUUUGAAAACAUUCAAACCACCUGUAUUGGUGGCUGUUAUUAUGAAAUAAAUAAACUGAGAAACAACAAGACAAUUUGGCCUCUACAAUUUGUUUAGUUUUGACUAAGUAUUUGCCUUGGAAGAAGUAUGUGUACAAUACUCAUUUUUAAAAGAUGCAACAGUCACCUCGUUACUUGGAGUUUUACUUGAGACUUGAAUGGACUGAAACCACCUGGUCACCACUAGAAGCUACAUCAAGGAAAAGAAAGGCAACAUAUUGAAUCUCUUGGGAGAAACUCAUCCUGUAUCUGCUCGAUUGAAAACAUGAAGGUGCACAUUCCAAGCUGCAUAUGCUCAGGUCCGAGUUUCCAAGGAAACAAGGGACUGCUCAUCUAUCUGCAAAACUGAACUGACGAGUCACUUUCAGCUUGUUACAAACCUUGAUUCUGAAUCAAAUUCUAGUGUGCAGUCUAAAAAUUCUCACUGCCUUGUCAUUUCUGCCGAGCAAACCCCUGAUGCUAUGAGGCUGGCAGUUGGGCAGGGAUUUUCCUGGGUUGUGCACUCUAAUUUUUUCCUCUGCACUGUUAGUGAAAUACUGUCAUUGAGAACCAGCUCCACACUGCACCUAUGUGAGAAAGGCCUUGGUUUCUAUCAGUAAAGUCAGACAGGGCUAUGUGCAUUUGGGAUGCCCUGGUCAACCAUACAGGAGGAAGCACAGUGGUCUUCCCAGCUCUCACAGUGGCCACCAGCUCUCAGGCUCACAAACUAGGCAAAGCAAAGAGCAACAGAACAACCUACUUCCCAACUUUCAUUAGUCACUCAAAUCCAAGUGGGUGAUCGUAUUUCUGAAGGUCUUGAAUACAGGACUUCCUGACCAUUCUUUAGCAUUUACUGAUGAAAGUAUUUCAGAUGUGUUAUGUUGUUUGGCAUGUGUUAUGUUGUUUGGCAAUCACAGUAAGUGUUGAGAUAGAUACUAUGAUUAUCUUCAUUCUCUAGGAACAGGCACAGAGAGGUUAAGUAAUUUCCCAAAGGUCACACAGUUUGUAAGUGAUAAAACUGAUUUGAAGCCAAACUAUGUCACCCCAAACUCAUAUUUUUAACACUUUAUUCCAUCUUCUAAAAGGCUGGCUAUUCUAUUUUUCUCUAAGUUUCAAAUUAGUAUGCCCAUUCCCUUGUUCAUUCAUUCAUUCAUCCAACAAACAUGUGUCAGGCAUCUAUGCCAGGCUCUGUGGAUAUAGUAUAAUAACAAACAAGACAGAUAAGAUUUCUCAGGGAGCUUACGUUUUGUAGAGGAGACUAAAUAAAUAAGCAAGCACAAACAAUGUAGAGUUUGUAAUAUUACCUAUCCCAGCAAAGGAAACCAACACUAGUGUGAGAAAAUUAAAUUAUAAAAGACCCUAACAUUUUCAAGAUACUGAAGGGGAUGAGAUGAAGCAGAGGUAGAGUGGGGCUGGAUUAUGCUGAAACACAUAGAACAGACUGGAUUCUAUUUUAAGUGAGGUGAUAAAUUCUUAAGGGUUUGUCAUUUUUGAGGUAGAACUGUCUUUUGUUCCUAUUGUAAAGAAACUACAUAGGUAGGCAUAAAAUACACCUGUAUGCCAGAGAUAGAAAAAUUCAUAUAAUUCCCAACUCCAAUUCUAUUUCUCUAGGAUAAUUUUAAUUGUGUAUAUGAAACAUAUCUCAAUGUUCUUGAAAGACUGAAAUCCACUCUUUUUAUUAUUUAUUGACUUAUUGAUUUGUGGUUAAGGAAAAAGUAGACUGAAGUAAAAAUAAAGAGUGCAGGAGUAUAAUUGCACAAGAAGUGGGAGGGAGACUUGUUGAACAGGCAACAGCCUAAAGUGAGUAUCCAUGAGUGGGCUCAGUAUGACCCUGCAGCUCCCCCAUCACACUUGCACCCACCUCAAGGAAUCCAGUUCACCUCUAUGGAAAAUCCCUGGGCUCCACGGGACAGAGUCUUGUUUUGUUUUACAUCUGUGUGUCCAUGCCUAGCCAGUAUCUUGUUUAGUGCAGCCUUUCCAUAAUAUUUGUGGAGAGAAAGAAAAAUGAAAGGAAGAAGAGAGGGAGGGGAAAAAGAAAGUGAGAGGAAAGAAGAAAGGUAAAAAGGAAGUAGCACUCUUGGUUUUGCUUCUCCUUGGCUGUUUCGUUAUUCUCAGUACUCCCCAACCCAUCUUCCUGGGAUAAGAAAAAAAAAAGACAUCUAAAAUGACACUUCCAAAAGAUUAAUAUUUUCAUUUCAACACUUCUGAAAGUAUUUCAAUGAAAUUGCUUUCAAAUGGUUUAUUUUAUAUUAGAUCAUUGAGAGAUAGAUUAAUGUCAUAAACGUAGGUACUAGCAAGCAAUAUUUUUGUCUCCUAUGUGCACAUAUUGUAUAUUUCAUAUCCUCUGAUAACUUGAAGUCACUAAUUUAAGUCAAAUUAGGGAAAGGGCAGUAUAGUAAUUGCAAUAUUUUCGGCUCCUUCUUGGUAACAAAUGCAGCUUCUUUUUUCCCCUCCACCCAUAUAUGAGUCUUCUUUUUCUUUGGCUAAGAUAUAAUAGCACUGCUCUACAUGAACAAAACUAUUUUUACUGGCUAUGUUAUUACUGAGAAAUGCAUUGGGAAAAUGUAAAAAUAUUUCACCUUUAUGUUGAAGAAAAUAAACACAGUGGAUUAGAUAAAAUUUGCACAGCUCUUGACAUGUGCCAUAUGUAACAUUUGGGAAACAUCAAAAAAGAGGCUCUGACUUCUUCGGAGAAUCAUAGACUCUGGCACUGGAGGGGGACUGAUCCACCACCCCACCUCACUCCAGCAAUUUGGGCAAACAAGACCUAAAGAAAUUGAAGGAUAAUCUAAAGUUUACAUUAUUAAUGGAAGAAACAAGACCAGAA